rnacentral:rRNA from 1 species
UACGAAGGGUGCAAACGUUGCUCGGAAUUAUUGGGCGUAAAGCGCACGUAGGCGGCAUUGCAAGUCCCAUGUGAAAGCCCACGGCUUAACCGUGGAAGUGCAUGGGAAACUGCAGUGCUUGAGUACUUAAGAGGAUCGCGGAAUUCCCGGUGUAGAGGUGAAAUGCGUAGAUAUCGGGAGGAACACCUGUGGCGAAAGCGGCUCACUGGACCACAACUGACGCUGAGGCGCGAAAGCUAGGGGAGCAAACAGG